GGCCCCGUAGCUCAGCUGGAUAGAGCGUCCCCCUCCUAAGGGGAAGGUCGCCCGUUCGAAUCGGGCCGGGGCCACCA
rnacentral:tRNA from 1 species